CAAUCUUGAGAGACCAACAGGGAUUGCCUCAGUAACGGCGAGUGAAGUGGCAACAGCUCAAAUUUGAAAUCUGGCUCUUUCAGGGUCCGAGUUGUAAUUUGUAGAAGAUGCUUUGGGUGUGGCUCCGGUCUAAGUUCCUUGGAACAGGACGUCAUAGAGGGUGAGAAUCCCGUACGUGACUGGGUGCCUUCGCUCGUGUAAAGCUCUUUCGACGAGUCGAGUUGUUUGGGAAUGCAGCUCAAAAUGGGUGGUAAAUUUCAUCUAAAGCUAAAUAUUGGCCAGAGACCGAUAGCGCACAAGUAGAGUGAUCGAAAGAUGAAAAGCACUUUGGAAAGAGAGUUAAACAGUACGUGAAAUUGUUGAAAGGGAAGCGCUUGCAACCAGACUUGCGCGCUGUUGAUCAUCCGAGCUUUUGCCCGGUGCACUCGGCAGCGCUCAGGCCAGCAUCGGUUUUGGUGGGCGGAUAAAGGCCUUGGGAAUGUAGCUCUCUUCGGGGAGUGUUAUAGCCCUCGGUGCAAUGCGCCCUACCGGGACCGAGGACCGCGCUUCGGCUAGGAUGCUGGCGUAAUGGUUGUAAGCGACCCGUCUUGAAACACGGACCAAGGAGUCUAACAUCUAUGCGAGUGUUUGGGUGUCAAACCCAUACGCGUAAUGAAAGUGAACGGAGGUGAGAACCCUUAAGGGUGCAUCAUCGACCGAUCCUGAUGUCUUCGGAUGGAUUUGAGUAAGAGCAUAGCUGUUGGGACCCGAAAGAUGGUGAACUAUGCCUGAAUAGGGUGAAGCUAGAGGAAACUCUGGUGGAGGCUCGCAGCGGUUCUGACGUGCAAAUCGAUCGUCAAAUUUGGGUAUAGGGGCGA
rnacentral:rRNA from 1 species